rnacentral:tRNA from 1 species
UCUCUCGUGGUCCAACGGUUCAAGACACGCGCCUGUCAAAUCGGCAAAUCCCGAACAAUCGCGCGUAACCCGGGUUCGACUCCCGGCGAGGGAG